GAUGAACGCUGGCGGCGUGCCUAAUACAUGCAAGUCGAGCGAACAGACGAGGAACUUGCUCCUUUGACGUUAGCGGCGGACGGGUGAGUAACACGUGGGUAACCUACCUAUAAGACUGGGAUAACUUCGGGAAACCGGAGCUAAUACCGGAUAAUAUUUCGAACCGCAUGGUUCGAUAGUGAAAGAUGGCUCUGCUAUCACUUAUAGAUGGACCUGCGCCGUAUUAGCUAGUUGGUAAGGUAACGGCUUACCAAGGCAACGAUACGUAGCCGACCUGAGAGGGUGAUCGGCCACACUGGAACUGAGACACGGUCCAGACUCCUACGGGAGGCAGCAGUAGGGAAUCUUCCGCAAUGGGCGAAAGCCUGACGGAGCAACGCCGCGUGAGUGAUGAAGGUCUUCGGAUCGUAAAACUCUGUUAUUAGGGAAGAACAAACGUGUAAGUAACUGUGCACGUCUUGACGGUACCUAAUCAGAAAGCCACGGCUAACUACGUG
rnacentral:rRNA from 1 species